GACGAACGCUGGCGGCGUGCCUAAUACAUGCAAGUAGAACGCUGAAGGAGGAGCUUGCUCUUCUGGAUGAGUUGCGAACGGGUGAGUAACGCGUAGGUAACCAGCCUGGUAGCGGGGGAUAACUAUUGGAAACGAUAGCUAAUACCGCAUAAGAGUAGAUGUUGCAUGACAUUUGCUUAAAAGGUGCAAUUGCAUCACUACCAGAUGGACCUGCGUUGUAUUAGCUAGUUGGUGGGGUAACGGCUCACCAAGGCGACGAUACAUAGCCGACCUGAGAGGGUGAUCGGCCACACUGGGACUGAGACACGGCCCAGACUCCUACGGGAGGCAGCAGUAGGGAAUCUUCGGCAAUGGACGGAAGUCUGACCGAGCAACGCCGCGUGAGUGAAGAAGGUUUUCGGAUCGUAAAGCUCUGUUGUAAGAGAAGAACGAGUGUGAGAGUGGAAAGUUCACACUGUGACGGUAUCUUACCAGAAAGGGACGGCUAACUACGUG
rnacentral:rRNA from 1 species